rnacentral:rRNA from 1 species
GACGAACGCUGGCGGCGUGCUUAACACAUGCAAGUCGAACGGAAAGGCCCUGCUUUUGUGGGGUGCUCGAGUGGCGAACGGGUGAGUAACACGUGAGUAACCUGCCCUUGACUUUGGGAUAACUUCAGGAAACUGGGGCUAAUACCGGAUAGGAGCUCCUGCUGCAUGGUGGGGGUUGGAAAGUUUCGGCGGUGGGGGAUGGACUCGCGGCUUAUCAGCUUGUUGGUGGGGUAGUGGCUUACCAAGGUUUUGACGGGUAGCCGGCCUGAGAGGGUGGCCGGCCACAUUGGGACUGAGAGACGGCGCAGUCUCCUACGGGAGGCAGCAGUGGAGAGUAUUGCACAGUGGGCGGGAGCCUGAUGCAGCAGCGCCGCGUGCGGGAUGACGGCCUUCGGGUUGUAAACCGCUUUCGCAUGUGACGAAGCGUGAGUGACGGUAAUGGGUAAAGAAGCACCGGCUAACUACGUG